GACGAACCGUGCAAACGUUGUUCGGAAUUACUGGGCGUAAAGCGCACGUAGGCGGGUUGUUAAGUCAGGGGUGAAAUCCUGGAGCUCAACUCCAGAACUGCCUUUGAUACUGGCAACCUAGAGACUGGAAGAGGUUAGUGGAAUUCCCAGUGUAGAGGUGAAAUUCGUAGAUAUUGGGAAGAACACCAGUGGCGAAGGCGGCUAACUGGUCCAGCACUGACGCUGAGGUGCGAAAGCGUGGGGAGCAAACAGG
rnacentral:rRNA from 1 species